GACGAACGCUGGCGGCGUGCUUAACACAUGCAAGUCGAACGGAAAGGCCCUGCUUUUGUGGGGUGCUCGAGUGGCGAACGGGUGAGUAACACGUGAGUAACCUGCCCUUGACUUUGGGAUAACUUCAGGAAACUGGGGCUAAUACCGGAUAGGAGCUCCUGCUGCAUGGUGGGGGUUGGAAAGUUUCGGCGGUUGGGGAUGGACUCGCGGCUUAUCAGCUUGUUGGUGGGGGAGUGGCUUACCAAGGCUUUGACGGGUAGCCGGCCUGAGAGGGUGACCGGCCACAAUGGGACUGAGAUACGGCCCAUGCUGCUACGGGAGGAAGCAGGGGGGAAUAUUGCGCAAUGGGCGGAAGCCUGAUGCAGCAACGCCGCGUGCGGGAUGACGGCCUUCGGGGUGUAAACCGCUUCCGCCUGGGACGAAGCGUGAGUGACGGUAAUGGGUAAAGAAGCACCGGCUAACUACGUG
rnacentral:rRNA from 1 species